GGAAGGCUGUAUUUCAGUGGGAGAGCAUCUGCCUUGCAUGCAGAAGGUCGCUGGUUCAAUCCCUGGCAUCUCUA